AAAGUGAACACCCUAAAAGAGGUUUAUGUUAAAUUAAAUAUAUAUCUGUAAAGAAAUGAAAGUAUGGAAAAUUAUUAAUACUCAACAGACAAUAAAGAGUUUUGAUACAAUAACUAUUCGUCGUAAUCGAAUAACUUACAAAAAUAUUAACUUCGAAAGAAUAAUGUUUCAAAUUUAGUUUUCUGAAUUUCAGUUUUAUAACAUGAAGGGAUGUGCAGGCACAAACUUUUUUUUAUCAACGAAUGUUUGUGUUGUAUAAAUCAGAAUUUUAGAUGUAUUUCUAAGAAAUAUUUGAUAUUAAUAUCUUUUUUGAAGGGUGCUUGAGUGUGCUGAGUGAGAAAGAUAUAAUGUACGCCAACAUUACAUGAUUAUAAUAAUUGAUUUAUUUUUUGAGGUGAAUGUAAAUAAAUAAUAAAAAAUAUAGAAAGACCAGGAAAAAAGGUGGUUGUAGUUUUAAUUUACUAUUAACUUUAGACAUAAACAGAUGUAACAGUUAAGUAGUACUGAAAGAGAUGAAGGAGUGUAAGAUAUUUAGUGAAAAAAAGCAAAAAUCAAGAUUGUAUAGAUCUGAAGAGCG